rnacentral:rRNA from 1 species
GUUUGAUCCUGGCUCAGACGAACGCUGCGGCAUGCCUAAUACAUGCAAGUCGAACGAGAUCUUCGGAUCUAGUGGCGCACGGGUGCGUAACGCGUGGGAAUCUGCCCUUGGGUUCGGAAUAACUUCUGGAAACGGAAGCUAAUACCGGAUGAUGACGUAAGUCCAAAGAUUUAUCGCCCAAGGAUGAGCCCGCGUAGGAUUAGCUAGUUGGUGGGGUAAAGGCUCACCAAGGCGACGAUCCUUAGCUGGUCUGAGAGGAUGAUCAGCCACACUGGGACUGAGACACGGCCCAGACUCCUACGGGAGGCAGCAGUAGGGAAUAUUGGACAAUGGGGGCAACCCUGAUCCAGCAAUGCCGCGUGAGUGAUAAGGCCUUAGGGUUGUAAAGCUCUUUUACCCGGGAUGAUAAUGAC